rnacentral:rRNA from 1 species
GUGCCAGCCGCCGCGGUAAUACCGGCAGCCCGAGUGAUGGCCGAUCUUAUUGGGCCUAAAGCGUCCGUAGCUGGCUGCGCAAGUCCGUCGGGAAAUCCGCCCGCUCAACGGGCGGCCGUCCGGCGGAACCUGUGUGGCUUGGGACCGGGAGGCCUGAGGGGUACGAUCGGGGUAGGAGUGAAAUCCUGUAAUCCCGGACGGACUACCGAUGGCGAAAGCACUCUGAGAAGACGGCUUCGACAGUGGGGGACGAAAGCUCGGGUCUCAAACCGGAUUAGAUACCCGAGUAGUCC